CUUGUAUCUUAGCAUCUUGCAUUGCUUCACGGGGGACAAGCAUAGGUGCUGGAAUAUGUAAUCGUAAUGUUUCCUUAAUCACCAUUUUCAUGUAGUGCAUUUUUUCAAGAUCAUCUUCUGUGAUAAAUCCUUUUCCCUUAGCUAUUUCUCUUAUCUCCAUUUGGACUUCUUUCAUUAUGUCUGCCUGUUGGAUUAGCUCUGUCAUUGCCCAAACCACGGUCAAUAACGAAGUAUCCGUCCCAGCAGAGAACAUAUCCUACAAGAAAAAAAAAUAGCAACAAAAACUGUAAGCAGGCAGCCGCGAUGGAAUGAACAUAAGAGUGAUGAGUAGAAUAUACUUACCAAGAUUAUUGCUUUGAUGUUAUCAUUAUCGAAGGGAACGCCGCCCAUUGAACCAUUUUGCUCGAGUUCAAGCAAAACAUCUACAAAGUCUUCCACACCCUUCUUAUCUUUCUUCCUGCUCUGAAUAUGCUCUUGAAUCACCUUUUCCAAGAACUCAUCCAUUUCAUUAUAGUUUUUCACGGCUCUCGCAUUAAGUCCGUUAAGUAUAUUCACCCAAGAAAGCCAAGGAAUGAAGUCCUCAACAUUAAAAACACUAACAAAAUACAAGAACUCUGCUAUAAUUUUUUGAAACUUCAUACCACCUUCAUCUGCACCAAACUUCCUCCCCAUUGUAACCCGACAGACUACAUUAUUUGUAAAUGAAAAUACCAAUUCACUCAAGUUCACACCAAUUGAAGAAGAAGUAGAAGAUAGAUGACGAAUUUUAUCGACCAUAAGAUUAGCUUCCUCUUCUCUAAGUGUUCUAAAUGAUGCCACUCUUUGAGAAGAAAAAAGAUGUGACGCACUAAUUUUUCGGACUUGUUUCCAGUAAUCACCAUAAGGUGCGAAAGCUAAGUCUUUAUAGGAAUAAGAAAGUUUUUCUGCAAACUUUCUUUUAGGUCUAUCUAAAAACUUAACUUCUUGUGUUUUCAAGAUCUCUCUGGCUGCAUCUACAGAAGAUACAAUCAAUGUCGGGGUUUGGCCUAAGCGAAGGAGCAUGAGGGGGCCAUAUUCUUUAGCAAGAAACUGAAGAGAUCGAUGUGGGAGUAAACCUAAUUGAUGAAGGUUUCCAAUUAUUGGAAGCUUUGAUGGUGAAGGUGGUAACUUGAGCUUCCUAUUCUUUUGAGAUGUAGUGAGUUUCAAAACAUAUAUUGUAACAAACAAAAUGAAAAAAAGUGAGAGCAAAAGGGGUUGUUGUUCUACCCAUUCAAACAUUCUUUCUUUCACUUAGACCAAAGCUUCACACACAGAGAGCUUAGUAUUUGAUUUCUUCACUUCCUGGGAGUAUAUGUAUGUUUUUUUCGCGGUGUGGCGAAAGAAUGCAUCAUAUAUUGGUGUUUUAAUUGGAGGACUAGUCUUUGAAAAAAAUCAUGUUGAUAAGAGUAUAGCAAUAGUUGAAGGAGUUGAAGAUUCUUUUUCAAAGUCAGGUGUGGAACAAUAUAUCUUUGAAUAGCUAGUCUGAUCCAGUUGCAUAACUUGAGUUGGUGAAACUUCUCUAUCACUUGGAAGGAAACAAACAUUAUUGCGGAUGCAUGCACAAACCAAGGUGUAGUAAUAAAAGUAAAAUUAUAGUAAAACCUCGAUAAAUGAAUACCCUUUUGGACCGGAUAUAUAGAUUAUUAUUUAAACGAGGUUAUUCAUUGAUCGAUCACUAUUUUAGUACAAAAUCUUGAAUUGGGACCGGACAAAUUUAUUACUUUAGCGAGGUUAUUCACUUAUCGAACAUUCAUUUAUCGAGGUUUAACUGUAGGUUGCAUCCCUCUCAUAAAGUGGAGGAGGUUAUAUAUGGGUUCGAAACACGUCAACAGCUGAUUCUUUGAUAAAAAAAGUUUCUUUCACCUUAUUGAAAAUAGAUCUCCUCAAUCGCGCUUGCUAAUAAAAUACAAACGAAAGAUUUAUCUAUUACGAGAGUAAUUAAAAUGUAAAGAGCUACAUUGUUUUUAUUUCUGUCAGUACAUUACCCUUUUCAGAAAAUUUUAUCAAAUUGAUUUUUCUUUCCCAUGACUUUUCUAUUCAACCCUUUAUUUCUACACUUGAGUAAUAGUGGAAAAAGUAUUGUCUAUAUAGAUUUAAAAAUGAGUUGUCCACUGUAUUUAAAACCAAAUUUCCAUGAGUAGUAAGACUUUAGUGAUGGAGGCUGGUGACUUCACUUCAAAGUAUUGUUCAACACACAUAGUGUUCAACAUUUCUCUUCCUCAUAAAUCAUAAUGAACAUAUAAUUCAAAAUUUGAGAAAAUAACAUACCUGUUAAAGUCUCAUUUAUGUUCUUUUAUAUAUAUUAUUACUAUUGACUAGUUGUUGAACCCGUGCAAUGCACCGGGGUUUGGUAACUUAUGAGAAAAAGAAUAAGUCACCCCCAAGGCCCCAAGUUUAAUCAAAGAGAAUAAGUCAACAAUAGCCCAUGGAAAUGGUUCUGGGACCUCAUUAAGCAUCCAUAAAACACAAAUGGCUCAGCUAAGGUCCGGUUUAUAAAAUUGGCCCUGAUUAAGUAUUUGUCGAAUAAGAAAAUACCCAUUUAACGUUGAUAUUGUAAAAACGGCCCUUUCACUACCAAUAAUACCCUUUUGGUUUAUGGAAACAAAUGUUUGCAUUUUAUGGUAUGUGGUGGUUGUUGUUUCGACUAUGCAAAUAAGUUUUUGCGUUUAAUGUUUAUGUGUGUUGUGACUGAUGCAAACAAGUAUUUACAUUUUAUGGUUUAUGUGAUUGUCGUUGCGAGUAUGCAAACAAGUUUUUGCAUUUAAUGUUUAUGUGUGUUGUGACUGAUGCAAACAAGUCUUUACAUUUUAUGGUUUAUGUGAUUGUUGUUGCGAGUAUGCAAACAAGUCUUUGCAUUUUAUGUUUGUGUUGUGACUGAUGCAAAUAAGUCUGUUUAUGUGUUUGUGAUAUGCAAACGAGUCUUUGCAUCAGUCGAGGGGUAAACUAGUCCAUAAGACACAAAAAUCAGCGGUUGGGCCUUUUUUUACCAAUAGUUCCCUAACCGGUCCAAUCUUACAUAUUAACAUCUUAAAAGGUCCGUUUUUUUAUUCCCUGAGCAAUAGCCAGUGCCCCACCAUUAUUAGCUAAUUGUUGUAAAUAAUCAUUUCCAUCAAAAGUUUUCAUUAUUGUUUUUCAAUUUGAAUGGCAAUGGUUACCUAUGGAUUUUUUUUUUAUCCCAUACUCAGUAAUGGAAGUAUUUAGGUAUGUCCAACAUCACAUCAUAAUAAUCAAAGAACGCAAAGCAUAAGCAAGCCACAAUGAGAUGUUAUACAAUCCAACUUUAUUAACAAAAGUAAGCCUCACUUGCACAACUACAUUUUUUUUUCGAUAAUGUAAAAUUAUUAUUAAUCAAACAAAACAAUUACAAUAAUCAUGAUCAACGUGCUUGAAGCAAGCAUGGUCAGGUAUUAACCAAACAGAAAGCACCAAAUAAUUUUUUUUUUUUUUUUUUACUAACCUAAAAUUUGCUUUUGUAAUUCCCUGUCAGUUCUGUUGACGAUGUUCACAGCCCUGGAAUGAAACUUUUCACUUGCCUGCUGUCAGUCCAUAGCUUCUGCUGCUUAUGGUCUUCUCCUCAUAUACCCAUGUUUCGUGUUGUUCCGUUCAGUUACAUCCCUGUCAGCUCACCCAUCUGCCAAACACCUUGCUGUAGUCAUUACCUUCUCCCAGCAACUCAUUCAUAACACAUUACCAUGUCCUUCUUUCAGUCUGCUGCGGUUUCUCUCAAUGUUAAUCCACCCCCACAUAUUUCCUUUCACCUGCAACACCAGCUACAUUUAUAGCAACAUGUCAUAAAAAAAUAGGAUUAUAUAUGUAUCUUACUAAGUCGUGGAAAAUGUGGAAAUGUAAUUGCCUUCAUCAUAUAUAUGCGUAUUUGAACAUUAACAUACACCUAGAUGGCCUGAUACUGUUAGAAUAGUUGUACUUGAGUGCAGACUUUAGGACAUUGGUAACAUAUUACAUUGUUAAUAUAUUACUGGAUAAACCUUUAGGUUAACUGAUUUAGUAGAUUUUGUAGGAUGGAAAUUUAUCCAUACUAAUGUCAUAUCUAUUUGGUUACCUUAUGUUCUUUUGAUUUGUUAAUAAAAAAUAUUAUUAUAAUUAAUAUAGUAUUUGAAUCAUAAAUACCAAAAUUCCUACUCAACCAAGGAAAUGAUGACAUGAACAAACCAUAUGCAUAAGAUAAGUAAAUGGUAAUUAAGGGUCCAUUACUGUCAUUUGUCAUAUACCUCAAAAAGUAUAAAGCCAAUCCCAAAUAGCUAAACAAAAAAAUAUAAUAUUAGUAAGAAAUGAUUUUGUUGCUUUGUUGCAAAUAUCAUUACUGAACCUCUAUACAGUAGAGUGUUUAUUCUUAUGCAAAUCUUGCAGUAAUAUAAUUCACUUCUAAACAAAUUUAAAGACAAAUAUAUAUCCAUGUACAUUGAGACUGGCUAGCUAUAACUCAAAAUGAAGUAUGAAAUCUCCAGAUUUUUGUGGCUUACUUACCUGUUCGAUCUCCCGUAGAAUUUCGCCAUACAUCUCCAGUCAGACCAUAGGUUCUAAGAGGUCAUCCUGCAUUAAGUAUAGUUCUUGCUCAUAGACAUCUCUCUUUGACGAAAAAUCCGGGGAGAAAAGGCGUCCCCCUCAUCUCUUGUAAAUAUCUGAUUGUUUGUUUCAUUAGUUAAGUAGUACUUUUAAUAGAUACGGGAGCAUUCUAGCCUGAAAUGAGAGGAUUUAAUAGUUAAGACUUUAGUGUUAGGUUCCAAUAGGCGCAUUGUAUUCAUGUAGUUUAAUGGAGAAUAACAUUAAGUUAGCUUUGUGUUUCUUUUGCUAUUUCAUGAAGUACAUCACUUAUCAAAACUUAAAACUGAGAAAAACAAUGAGAAAUCGUAUGCAGUUAUCAAAGUGACUUUUUCAUAUUUUUAUUCAAUAAGCAUAACGUAUUAUAACAAAAAUGGAAAAAUAAUCUACUAGAUAUAACGUAUUCACGUUAAAUUAUAUAAGGGAUGAAUUAACUACUACAAAUCAAUGUUGAGCCCACAGUUUCCUUAUAGUUCACGGGGCUGUAUGAUAUGGUCAAGUUACUGUUGCAGAGAAGCUUUGUGUUGGUGACCAUCAGGUUCAAUGGGUCUGUAAUAAGCAAAGAGUUUGUAAGUGCAUCAUUAUGCCGGACUACACUUGGUGCUCAUUGUGCCAAGAAUCAUAGAUAUUAACCUAAGAUCAGGCGCACCAGAUAGAUCAGAAGAGACAGAGUGUACGGAUCUCGUGCAUAACACGUGAUCCGUCAUGGAAUACAGCUAAGACUAAACUCAAGGAUAAGAAGGUUACGUAACCGGCCUUGCAAUAACCGUUGGAUCUAGACCUGAUCUGGCGGACAUAAGAGCGUGCAUGCUACACUCUAUAAAUAGAUAAUAACCCUAAGGUUAAGGUAUAUUUUUUCACUUAUUCUACACUGUUAUAUUAAGUCUUCCUCUCCUCCUUACUUGAUACUAACUUGAGCGUUGGAGUGCUAACGCCGAUAUCAACACCGGUGUGUUUUGCAGGGAACAGGAAGAAGAACUAGGUGAGCAUCCAGUCUUGACAGACUUCAUGGUGUAAGCUGCAGAGCAAACUUAAAUAUUAGCACCCACCGUGGAUUUCCACGAACUCAAGCCAUCUAGUUCUUUAUUUUGUAGAUCUGCAUGUCUUCUUUUAGUUUGUUUCGUUUGGGAUCUGUUCACUUCAGUUUGUUUCGUUUUAGACCUAUUUGUUUUCUUUCAGUUGGUUUACUAUAACCAGAUCUGUGUUUUCAUAGUUUUCUUGUUUGUUAUUUGUUUUGUUUCUUUUUUUCGUUGUGGUAGGAUGGCAGCAAGCAGACCCAACAGAGCUCAGAUUGAAGCAGCAAAUGAAGCUUUGCAAAAUCAGUUACAUGAUGCUCAGGAGAGAGAGGAGGCUCUCCAAACAGAAAUCAACCAACUCAGAGAACAGGAAGCGACUAGAGCAGCCCAAACAACCCUAAAUCAACAAGUUCAACAACCUGACAACCAGGAGAACCCUCCACCCCAACAUGAUGGUCAAGUGGACGAACUUCCACAACCCCCACCACUCGACCAUCAGUAGAAUCAGCAAGGCAGGCAGCCUAGGGUUCCAUGCCAGCAAAACCAAGGAGAUCCAGUUGACGGCGAGGAAUCUCUCGCCGUCAACACCGAGAACGAGACAGAAGAAGAGAAUGACAGUCAAGCUCAGGGCAACGCGGCUCCAAACUUAGCAGAAGUGUUGCAGAUGGUUCAGGCCUUGCAAACUCAGGUAGCACAGGGAUCUAAAGCAAACGCAUCCGUGAAGAAAGAUAUGGAACGACUGGAGAAGGAACCAUUAGUAGAUGUCUGUUACACUUAUGUUUUUCCAAGCAAGUUCUCUCCACCAAAGUUUGACGGUUAUGACUGAACUACCGACCCAAGCGAUCAUCUCACCUAUUACAAGCAACAGAUGGCGGUGUGGGAUGAUCGUCAGUAUGACGGAUUGUGGUGUCGUCUCUUUCCUCAAAGUCUGAAAACUAACGCACUCAACUGAUUUCUCACCCUUCUGGAGAAGAGUAUCCAUUCGUUUGAGGAGUUGUAAACAACAUUUCUUACCCAUUACAUUCAUCAGAAGAGAAGAGUCACAGAUAUUGCUUCACUGUUUGAUCUGCAUCAAGAGAAGGAUGAACCACUCAAAGAUUUCGUUUCAAGGUUCAAAAUCAUAGUCUUACAGCUAGAUUAGAUUGAGGACAAGAUGGCCAUAGUAGCAUUCCAGAAAGGGAUUCACAGAGAUUCUCCAGCUCACAAGACUAUUGCCUGUUCACAGAUGAAUACCUUAUCGGAGCUUUACCUCAAGGUGGAAAAGUAUAUCAGGCUAGAGCAAACAAUUGCAAGAAUGGAGAUUCCGACAAGCCAAGGAACCGUUAACACAGUUACAUCCGACAACAAGAGAGUUUCCAAGGGUAGCAAGACUGAACACCUAAGAGACAGUGAUGGCAGAGGAGGCAGAGGAGGAUCAGAUAAAAGGAGGAAAGGAGAUGGUAAGGACACUUCCCCAAGGCGGUCACCACCACGAAGACCAUCACCACCGAGAGACAUCCCACACUUCAAUACAAGUCUGUCAGAGAUUUACAGAAAGAUUAAGAAUAGAAGGUAUUUUCAGAGCCCAGGUAACAAAUGUGCAAGCAUUAGAGGUAAGUCUUUCUGUGAUUUCAACCAAGCUCAUAACCACUCAACAAAUGAUUGUUAUUCCUUCCAAAGAUUUUUGAAAAGGUUAGUAGAAGAUGGUCAUCUGAAAGAAUUUUUGCCCCGGGAAGAUCGACAGAUUGUUGCCAUGCCUCAACCUAUCCAGGUAAUUGGAACUGUUAACAUGAUACUUGAAAAUUUUCAUGAGUCUAACAACAAGCAUAAGCAGAAGGUCAGGAAGGUCCAUCAAGUCUGUGAACACAGGGAAGGUCCUGAUACUCCGAUUGCAUUUCCCGUGAUGCGAAAUGGCAAACAUGUGCAAUAGACAGAGCCGAUAUAUUUCUCUGAUGACGAUCUCCAUGGGGUUGACACUCCACACAAUGAUGCACUCACAGUUACUAUAAAUAUUGGUAGCUGGAGAGUCAGGAAAGUCCUUAUUGAUUGCGGAGUGGAUAUUCUUUACACCAGGGGACUCAAUCAAAUGAAGCUAGACAGAUCUCAUUUGUCCCCUUCCAAGGGCAACGUCUACGGAUUCAACAGAGGAUCAAGUCUUCCAUUAGGUGAGAUCACACUUCCGGUUUGUGUUGACAAGAAAACUGUUGUGUCUCGUUUUGUUGUUGUGGAGGCAGGAUCCGAGUACAAUGUUAUACUGGGUCGUAGUUGGAUCCAUGCAAUGAAGGCUAUUCCAUCCACUCUGUAUCAGAAGGUACGCUUCCCAACAGAAGAAGGACAGUACGAGAUCCGAGGGGACCGACUUUCUAAGAAAUGACAAGUCAUGACACAGUCAAACUCAUGAGCAGACAAGCAGAUGGGGAUCGGAUGACAGGUCCGACAACACCGACAAAUAGCAACGAGAUCUGAGGGGACCAGGCUCUCUCAAAAAUGACAAGUCAUGACACAGUCAAACUCAUGAGUAGACAAGCAGAUGAGGAUGACAGGUCUGACAACACUGACAAAUAGCAACUACAGAGGAAAGAUGAUGGGAAAGAGGCCGAGGUUGCUGUUAAAACCGUUGAAACAACAGAGCCCGUCAAUCUCUCUUAACAGGGAUAAAGCGAAUCACCCAUGUUGGGACGCUGCUAGACCCUCAGGUAAAGUCUGAUCUGAUAAAUUUCUUGAAAGAUAAUCAUGAUGUUUUUGCUUGGAGUAUGUCGGACAUGCUAGGAAUAGAUCCAUCUAUAACUUGUCAUAAAUUGAAUGUUUGCAAAGAUGCUAAUCCUGUAGCUUAGCGAGUACGGACUAUAGUCACUAUACGUCCAGCUUUGGUAGAAGUCGUUAAGACAGAAAUCCAGAAGAUGUUUGAUGCUGGCAUAGUGAAAGAAGUGCAAUAUCCAGAAUGGGUCUCGAAUAUUGUUGCAGUGCCUAAGAAGAAUGGGAAGUAAAAGUCUGCAUAGACUUCACAAACCUCAACAAAGCAUGCCCGAAAGAUAUGUAUGUAAUGCCGAGAGUAGAUGAACUCGUUGACAGAACUGCCGGAUAUGAAUUGUUGUUAUUCAUGGAUGGAUACUCUGGAUACAACCAAAUUGCUAUGUAUGAACCUGAUCAGUCAAAGACAACCUUUUAUGCUGGGAGUAAGACUCUUUGUUACACAAAAAUGCCAUUUGGUUUGAAGAAUGCUGGAGCAACUUACCAAAGAUUGAUGGAACAUAUGUUCAAAGAUCACCUCAAGAAUACAAUGGAAGUGUACAUUGAUGAUAUGUUGGUAAAAUCCGUCAUAACUGGUGACCAUCUGGCUGACCUAGAUAUUACGCUCAAUAUUCUCAGAUCGUACAGAAUGAAGCUCAAUCCAGAGAAGUGCACUUUUGGAGUUUCAUCAAGGAAGUUCCUGGGGUAUAUAGUGACGAAAAGAGGGAUAAAGGUGAAUCAAGAGCAAAUCAGAGCCUUAAUCGAGAUACCAUCUCCGUCUACCAGAAAAGAAGUUCAAGUCUUAGCAGGAAGGAUCACGGCCUUGGAAAGGUUCAUUUCACGCUCCACAGAUAAAUGUAAGCCUAUUCUUACACUCCUAAGAAAGAGUAUGUAGUUCAAAUGGAACAGUGAAUGCGAAAGCGCCUUCAAGACCUUGAAACAGUACCUCAGUGAGCCGCCAAUCCUGGCAAAGCCGACACCAGGUGAAAUUUUAUUUUUGUAUUUAGCUAUAUCUAACAUUGCCGUGAGUACAAUCCUCACGCGCAGGGAAGGAACGAAUGAGAAUCCAGUAUACUUCCUCAGUAAAAAAUUGACAGAUGCAGAAACGAGAUACACUAGAGUGGAAAAGUAUGGUCUGGCAUUACUAUUUUCAGCACGACGCUUACGGCCAUACUUCGAAGCUUAUAUAGUUACUGUUGUCACUAACUUGCCACUAAAGCUUAUUCUUUCAAAAAUAGAAAAAACAGGUAGAAUCGAGAAAUGGGCAAUCGCUCUCAACAAGUUUCAUUUGCAGUACGAACAGAAGAAGGUAGAGAAGUCUCAAGUGCUAGCAGACUUCUUAGCAGACUUCCCAGUAGAAGAGGAUGGAGAGGUGUCUGAGAUGCCAUUAGAUGCAGAAGUGACCGAUCCAGAGUUGACUGAAUGCAGGAGAGAAUGGGAGACAAUUAUAAGAUGGCGAAUGUUUGCUGACGGAUCUGCCAGCAAAGACGGAUCCGCCAUCGGUAUAGUCAUUAUAACUCCAGAAAAUUCCAAAAUUGAGUUAGCAGAGAAACUUGGAUUCCCGGCAACUAACAAUGAAGCAGAGUAUGAAGCGAUCAUUACUGGGCUCGAAAUGGUGAGUUCACUCGGUGUGAAGGAGAUAGCAGUGUUCACAGACUCAAAGUUGGUUGUAUAGCAGACUGGGGUCGGCUACAAAGCCACCAACGCCAAAAUGGCAGCGUACUUAAAGCUCCUGAAGGAGGUAAUGCUCAAAUUUUCUGCAGUAGACAUUAUCCACCUCUACAGGAACGACAACCGGCAAGUAGACGCUCUAGCCUACAUCGCAGCCAUGUUAGGUGAUGCAGAGACAAAAACUAUCACAUUGACAAGAAAAGAAAAAUCAAUGCUCGAGAAAUCAGAGGUCGUAAUGGCCGUUAAUUCCGAACUGGGGGCAAGCUGGAUGGACCCAAUAGUCCGAUAUCUUAGAGAUCAAGAGCUCCCAUCCGAGAAGACAAAAACUCAAAAAGUCAUCGAGAGUUCCAAAAGAUACACUCUAUUAGAAGGAGAGCUGUACAGGAAAUCCCACCAUGCUCCACUCUUGAAGUGCGUACACCUAGAUCUCAUAGAGCAGGUUAUGGCCGAAAUUCACGAUGGCAGUUGCAGCAGUCACUCUCCAGGAAGGGCAAUGGCUCACAGAGUUAUGAUUCAUGGGUAUUUUUGGCCCCGUCUAUUCUGUGAUUGCGUGGAAUACGCCAAGAAGUGCGGAGGUUGUCAAAUCCAUGGCAGGCUAAUCCAUUCUUCAGCCGAAGAAUUGCACCUAGUCGGAAGUCCCUGGCCAUUCGCAAGUGGGGGAUUGACAUUAUUGGCAAAUUGCCAACUUCAGGAAGGGGCCUAGAAUUCCUAUUGGUGGCCACGUAAUACUUCACAAAGUGGGUGGAGGCAAUUCCACUGCAGCAGGUCAAAGAAGAGCAGGUAAAAGACUUUAUUUGGGAAUACAUUCUCUGUCGCUUCGGUCUUCCAAAAGCAGUUGUAACUGAUAACGAUCCUCAAUUCUGUGGUGGGGAAGUGAAAAAGUUCUUUGAUAGUUAAAAAAUCAGGCAGUACUUCGUAUCACCUUUCUAUCCGCAAUCUAAUGGCCAAGCCGAAGCGACAAACAAGUCUAUUCUGGAAACAGUUCAAAAGAAGUUAGAAGACAAAGGUGUGAACUGGUCAGAGAGCAGUUAUUGGAAGUGUUAUGGGCAUAUCGAACUACGCCAAGAAGGUCAACAGGUGCAACACCGUUCUCUCUGACAUAUGGAAUGGAGGCAACCAUAAUCCCACCAGAGAUGAUAACACCAUCAACCCGAAAGAUUGUGGUAGACGUUGGGAUAAAUGGGGAAAUCAUUGAAAGAGAGUUGGUGUUGGCAGAAGAGAAGAGAGAUAUGGCAAGAACCAAACUCGAAAGUUAUCAGCGAAGCAUGCAAAGGUCCUACAACAGCAAAGUCAGACCACAAACUCUUAAUGAAGGCGAUCUAUUCUUGCGCAGGAAAUACCCCGCACCAUUGAAGCUCCGUCCAAACUGGGAAGGACCUUAUGUAGUGGACUGUGUCGGAACAAACGGAUCUUACUACCUCAAGACUGUCGACGGAGAGGCUAUCACUAAGCCUUGGAAUAUUUCUAACUUAAAGAAAUAUUUUGUGUAAUCGAAAAGCUCAUUUUGCAAUCAGACAAUUUUGUGUGAGCAGUCAAUUACAAGUGCUAUUUUGAGAGUUAUAAUGGAGAUUAUUCUUGGAGUUUUUGCACUCUGUCAUACAUGUUUGAGUUGUAAAAGAUUUAAUAUCUUGGAGUUUUUGCACUCCGGCAUACGAGAUUCAAUUAUAUAUAUUAUAAUUAUCUUGGAGUUUUUGCACUCUGGCAUACAUGUUUUGUAUCAACCCAUGGACUUAUGGUUCAGAACUGCAAUCCCAGCAAGAGCCAUGCUAACAGUCUUGCCGGGGCACCCUGUUUAGGAAGCAAGUUCAAUACUUGGGGGCGACUAAGGCUGGUAAGAGAGAAGUCUUAGCAGGACGCUAGCCCCGUCUAGUAGCUCUUACCCCCUUGCUCGCACCCCGUAAUGGCUGCUACCGCAGCAUUACGGGAAGCCUUCCAGAAUGGAAGUAGGGCCGAAAGGUCAGUCAUGUCAGGGCCGACAAUGUACCUAACCUCUGUGACGAUAGGGUUAGGCUAACAUCUGUAACGGGAUUGAAUGACAAUGAGUAUCAAUACUCAAAGAGCUGAACGCUCAUGCAAAACGGUCAAUCGCAACGAUUGGAAAAGAAAAAACAUUCAGAUUCUAUCUAAGCAAAGAAUACUGACUACAACGCCUGCCCAUCCACCGCGGGCUGAGAAACCAGGCAAUAUCAAAAUCAUAUGGAAAGAAAAUCAUGCAUUUAUAUAUAGGCGGCCUACUCGUCCACCACGGUUCGAGAAACCAGGCCCAAGUAACAAUAUUAGCUAGCCAAUAAAUUACUAUAAGAGAAACAAAAUGUCGGCCUUCCCGAAGGAGAGACCUAGUGUAUAAAUAUUCUUCAUUAUUCACUAAAUAUUUUGGGAUUACAAAUUAUACAUUAGAGAUUGAUGGGGUUACAAAUGAGAUUUUUUGUUAGAAAUAUUAAUAAUAUUAAUUGAUUUUUUUUCUUUUUGUGGCAAUUGAUUUUAUUUUAGCCUAAUUUUAUUAGAGAAAUGGAUUACAAAUAUGAGGAGUUAAAAAUGAGGUAUAAUUAUCUGUAUUAAUGCAAUAAUUAAUUUUUCUUUUUCUUAUAGCCUAAUUUUAUUAGAGAAAGGGGUUACAAAUAUCAUGAAUUAAAUAUUAAGAGUAAUUAUCUUUGUUAAUACAAUCAUUGAUUAUUUUGUAGGUUAUUUUGUGAAUAUAAUGAAGAUACCAUAUCUAGAAAGUGAUUGAUCCAAAGGACUUUAUUCUCUUGAUCCAAAUCUAUGGAUAUAGUUGUCUUAGAUUAUUCAUCAAAUCUCUCGAUUCACUAAAAUUGUUUGAUUCUUCUCUUCCCAAUUACAUAUCAAAAUUUUGAUUAAACUAAUCAAUAAUGAAAGUGAAUCUUUUUUCAUUUUUUAUUUAUUAAAUUUUUAUAUAAAAAUUAUUUUUUUAAGUAUUUUAAAUAAAUAUAAAUCCAAAAUUAGAGAUUUAAAAUGAAAAUUUUAAUUACAAAAUUUCUGUAUGAUCCUUAUAUGGGUAAAACAUUAAUAGAUUUCUCCAAGAUUUGGUGAAUACUAAAUAGUCAAAUUUUAAAUUAAACUAAUUGAGGGCAAUUAUGUAAUACCAAGAAUUAAUCAUUGGCAAAAAUAUUUUUUUUCUUGGCAAAAACUGGGCCUUAAUUAAUCCAAAGAUUCAUUGGUUUCAAUAUUUUCAUUAUUAUUUCAAAAAAAAUGAAUUUACAAUGGUUUUAGUUGUCCAUGUCUCAUAAAUAUUGGUUAUUUAGUAUUAUAUAUUAAUUAACCUAUAGGUUAUAUUUCUGAAAUUUAAUGUGUUAGCAAUUAAAACUCUUAAUUCUAUGGCUACGAUUAUCUGAAUAGACAACUAAUGGUUAAGAUCAAAUUUUGAACAUCUAAGGGCUAUUAUUUCAACUUAUUACAUCGAUUAUAUAAUUUAAUGUACAUCCAAUGGUUAUGGUUGUCUCCAUAGACAUCUAACGGCUGUGUUUAUAAGACCGUCUUAUAAUAUUAUAUAGAUGGAGUGCAAAUCUAUGCACCUAGUUUGCUGAUAAUUGAUCAUGCACUGGUCAAGUACAGGCAUGACCACGUUAGAGAUAUCUUGUGUGAUGUGUUCUGGCGGGCUGGCGUACAGGUUAAGAAGGAGGCUCUUGUUAACUUUCUUACUGAUCCUAAGGAAGGAAGAUCGACAUUACGUCCUGCUGAUAUUCUGGUCUACAACUGGUCUGAAGGUAAACAUGCGUGUGUUGAUGUUACAGGGGCGUCUCCGAUGGUUGGGCUGAGUGCUGGGAUUUUUGAGGUGGGGCUAGCAGCUAACAAUGCAGCAGCGGCAAAAGUGGAGAAACAUGACGGAGCUUGUAGGGCUAACCAACAUAGUUUCAUCCCCUUUGCAUUUGAUACAUUUGGAUUGCUAGGCUCAGAAGCAGUUGAGCUCCUCAGGAGAGUACAGAAGAUAAUGGAUUGCAACGUGAUGACUGCAGGUUCGAACGAAUAUGUAUUUAGGAGAAUCGGGUUUGCUAUCCAGAAAGGACUUGUCGCGCAGUUUGUAGCGCGUUUGUCCUCUACUUUUGUGUAAUUCGUUGAGCUUAUCAAUAAAAUUUAUUUGAGAAAAAAAAAAAAAUUGAUAUUAGCAUAAUCAAUUAGUUAAGAAAAGUUUGUAGUGACCAUGAGAUGGCAACAUAGAUAGCAGAGAAAUUGUUGGAUAAUGUUAGUAGCUGUUCAAAUUUAUAUUUUGACUACAGAACAUGUAGAAUGAGACAAACCUCUAAUGGAUUGUGACCUUGCAACAAAGAAAAUUGGAUAGUUCAUCCUUCUAAUAAAAAAAAGUCGACCAGGCUACGAAAUUGGAUUAUAGCAGUCUAUACUUUCGUCAUAAAAGAAAAAUCUACAAACCAAGAAUUUGUGACCACUUUUAAGUUUUGCGACGAUUUUUACUAGUCGCAAAACUCAGUGACUGUCUCCUAGGCCGUUGCCGGCAGUUGAUGUUUAGAGCGGUCCCAAAAAUCCUGAUUUUUUGGUAGAGUAGUAGUGUGCAGGACUUGGUUGUCCAAAAUUCCUUGCAUCCAUCUAUGAUCUAUCUAUCGUGGCUUGACAGAAUUUAUCACCUUGGUUCGUUUGUUGAUCUAUCAGAUCAUGGGGAUAACAUAAUAUAAUGUUGCCAAAUAACAAGUUAAAGAAGGGAUAACAUAAUAAUGUUGCACAAUUUUUAGAGUUCAUUACCAAGCCUAAUGUCGCUGAUUUCUUCCCCUGGAUGCGAUGGUUUGAUCUGACCCAGAUUUUAGAUCCACAAAAUGGGAAAAGAAAUGACACAGAUUUUCUGGAUGUGAUCCUUGGGAAACCACAUCGAGGGUGAACCGGCAAAAUUACCAGAGAUUAUAUUAACAUAAGUAUAGGAAUACUGGUGAGAACAUUUCAAAUAGAUUUCUGCAUGUUAUACAUACAUCAAUUCAUACAUCAAUCCGGUUCACAUUUUGAGCUUAUUGUCCUGUUUAUAUAUCAUCAUUUUUUCGGUUUUUGUAUGUAUAAUUCAAUCUGACUGCACCAAAUAUGGCUACAGACACAAGCACUAGCACUGUAGAAUGGGCGGUGACUGAGCUUCUUCACAAUCCCAGGUAAUGAGAAAAGUGGAAGUUGAACUCACUUUUGGACUUGAAUUAGAGUAAUUUCUAUUAUUUUUGUAUUUUUGUAGGAAAUAACCUAAACAGGAAUAAAUCAAAAGAAAAGCCUACAAAAUGAUACAAAAAGAGCAAAAAGAGAAAAGUCAAGUAUGAAGCCCAAAGUCCCAAAUGGUCAAAGCCUUGAAUGAAUAUUAGUGGAUUAAAUCUAAAUGAGCCCGUAAAUUAUCUACAAAGAGAGGCCCAUUAAGAAGAUAAGUGAAGUGAGACUACUAAAUAGAAGAUGGAGCAUAGAAUCACUUCAAGGUUGAUAUUUAAGAUUUUAGUAUGUGUAAAAUACGGAGAAUAUUGAGACAACUCAGCCAUCCAAGGAAGAUUGCCAGCAUGUUCUAGAAUGACACUAUAUAUGCCAGUUUUAUACAGAAUUGGCAACAAGGUCGCAAGAAUUUGAUUUCCAACACAUGUUUUUCAUUAAUCUUUGACCACAAUCAUUCAAAGAUUUUAUUCUUGACAUUUUCUUCCACAAAUGUUUAGUAAUUAGUUUGAUUAUCAAUCAAGGGGUUUUUAGUUUUUGGCCCAUCUAAAUAAUACGUAUUUAAGAUGUAUGACGCUUUUAAUCCAUAUUUAGAGUAUGGGACGCCCUCCGUCAGUUGACUGCGUUGACCAUAAACGAAUGCGUUAGAUUUUUCAGAAACCCAUUUCUACCCCUGCACGUGCUGAGCACGAGAUAUAAAACAACAUUAAAAAUAUUUGAGGUUUUUAGUUUUUGGCCCACCUAAAUAAUAUGUAUUUAGGAUGUAAGACGCUUUUAAUCCAUAUUUAGAGUAUGGGACGCCCUUUGUCAGUUGACUGCGUUGACCUGUUGGAUUUUUUCAGAAACUCAUAUUUAUCACCAUUAAACUAUACAGAACAUAAAGAAUAUUAUUUGAAUUGAAAUCUUCAAAUCCUCAGAACAUCUUGAAUCCCUUACCCUUGAGCUUUUGCCCAACGUGAGAACUGAUAGAGCUGCACCGUCUCAUUCGUGGCAUGGGAUGCUAGAAGCAGAUAAUUACGUGGUUGUACCAUCCAUGCAAAUCUCAUGAACAACGCCGAAUAAACACACAAUACUGCAACAUAAGGUCAAAAGUGAAAAUUAAAAUAACACAACUAAUUAAGUAUUCACAGGUUUCAAAGUCAUAAAAAUGAUUACCUCCAGUCAUAUUGCCAGAUAUGAGUUCUGGGGGUUUCUGCGCGUCGACUAAUCCCUGUUAAAGCCACCGAUUAAACAAAAUUAUUAUUGAGCCAACACAAAAUGAUAAAGAAUAAUAUUACUAAGCCUCCAAGAAAUCAUCUUACAGUAAGAAAAAUCUUAUGCUAAUAACAAAUUAUGCUUGUUAUACAAACUCAAAAGGAGUUUUUAGUUUUUGGUCCACCUAAAUAAUACGUUAUGGUCAACGCAGUCAACUGACGGAGGGCGUCCCAUACUCUAAAUAUGGAUUAAAAACGUCUUACAUCCUAAAUACGUAUUAUUUAGGUGAACCAAAAACUAAAAACCCUUUAUAUUUUUAAUGUUGUUUUAUAUCUCGUGCUCAACACAUGCAGGGGUAGAAAUGGGUUUCUGAAAAAUCUAACGCAUUCGUUUAUGGUCAACGCAGUCAACUGACGGAGGGCGUCCCAUACUCUAAAUAUGGAUUAAAAACGUCCUACAUCUUAAAUACGUAUUAUUUAGGUGGGCCAAAAACUAAAAACCCCAUCAAUCAAAUCAAAUAUUGUGUAAUAUUUUACAAUUUUCCCAUUUUAGGCUCCCUAUUGAUCUAUAAAUAGGGAGCUUUAUUCUUUGUAUUCAUCAUCAGGAGGUGGGAGCAAAAACUUCACUCUUAUAUCAUUCUAAUAAAGUUUUUUUUUUUUUUCUUCUUCUUUUAUUGUUUAGUUAGUUUUUAUUUUAUGUCAUUUCAUUUAAUAGAUUUUAGUAUAGUAUUAUGCUAGGUUAAUCUCUCUUUUUCAAGGGAGAGAUGAAGCCUUUUCAUUUUUAUGUAGUAGUUAAUAUAUGAUUUAUUAAGUUUUAAUCCAUUAAGAGUAAUUGUGGAGAUCAAUGAUCUAGUGCUCCGAGAGAAGGUUAGAGGUAAGUAAUUGCAAUAAUUUAUUUGUGAAAUGAAAUAUAUAACGGUGUUUAUUUAUUUUCUUCUUAGUUCUUUAAAUUCUUUUAGUAGGUAGAAUAUACACUUUGCUAUAGCUAUUCGAGGACAUAUUGAGUGACGGUCUGAAAGACGAACGUACUCUUUCUUGCCACCAACAUAAUAAUUGUACAUUGUAUUGUAGUCUUUCCUCCAUUUUAAUGAUAAAAAGUAUCAUUGAUUUUCUAGAAUUGAUAGACUUUAAUGUAGAUAGAAUAAGUGUUUAAUGUCAUACCUUUCAUUUAAGCAUUUCGAAUCAUCUUAGUGUGUAAUGAGUAUCUAUCUACGGAUUAAUCUUGAUAAAUCUAUAUAUUAAUUAUUACAUAAUUGAAUUGGUGGAUUCAAUCUCUUGAAAUUCCCAUCAUAUUUAUCUUCUUACAAUUAUUUCUUACAUUAGUAGUAGUUAAUCAUCAUCUACCUUGCUAUAUAUAUUAUUUUCCCAUUAUUGUCUAGAUUAGUAAAAAUGCAUUUCUUUUCUUUAUUAAACUUGGUUCUCUCUUAGACGUGGAUUCGAUAACCCUUUCUUGAAGCUAUACUUAUUUUAGGUAGUCAAAGAAAGGUUUUGAGAGGCGCGAUCUAAUUAACAACUAUUUCACGCCUUUUCAAAUGGCGUCGUUUCCGGUCUAAGAAAAAUUCGAACCAAUGAAUAAAAGACGUCAUCAUACUGAUCGCAGUCUAUUGGGACUCACCCAACCCUCUCACCUUCCAUACCGAGUUUGUUUUCUUUUCUCUUCUCUAGUUACCUGUGUUCUAUUCAAUUUCAUUUAACAAUUAAAUUAUAGUAGAUUGUUGUUUCAAUUAUUAUAUUUAGUUUGUAUACACUCACUCUAUCUGGUAGAGAAGGACAACAAAUAGUCACAGACAAUUGACUAGUUUGUUUCUGCGCAGGUUCGUACACUAAUUCAUCUUUAGUGGUCCGAUCUUGUAACUAUACCUUCUCACCAUGAAGCCCAAGUUAGCGGUUUAUUUUAAUUGAGUGGUGUAUUGCGCAUUUAAUUUAACAUUUGCAUAAAAUAUUAGAUAAGGGCAAGAACCCUAACAAGAUGAAGUAGUGGAUUUCAUCAUCGCUAUUUUGCCCACCUAGGUUAAAAAUCUCAACAUCUUGCAUAACCUAAGCCCAAUUAAUAAUUUAAAAUCUAUUAGACUUCAAGCCAAGGGUUGCUAUAUAGCUGAUAAGACCCUCUUGAAUAGGAUAAGAUUUUAAGGAAUUCUUAUAAUUAGUACUUCUUGUGCAAUGUCUAGAAAAGUUCUGUCAAACGACGUGCAAUGUCGUCUAAGGUUUAAGUGGUUACAUAAUUGAGGAACGUGUUUAUACACGGAAUACCCCCCACUGAAUCAAAACUGAUCUGGUUGCAUUUGGACGAAAGUUAUUUGAUGAACUUGAGAUUUUACCUUGCCAAGAGUCGGAGCUAAGUCUAGAAGUACUAAGGAUUAGGUUUGCUUAAAAUUCGUAACCUCGAAAAUUAAAUCAAGAUAAAAAAAAGUUGAUUUGUAUGAUCUAGAAUAAUUUUUUGUUUGUGUUUGAUUGAUUUGUAUGCCCAAACUUGGUUGGGUGAGAAACAAAAUUAAUCGUUUAAUUAGUAUUGACCCUCUAUCCUCGGACGACGAAUCUUCUACUCAUUCACCACCAACAACCUUUUCUAUCAUGGCGGGCCUUGAGGAUGCUAGAAAUCUUGAUGAGCAAUUUGCUCUAGUAACCACCAACCCGCAUUCUUGUAUUGUGUUGCUAACAUGUGAUGCACAUUAUUUUGAAAUAAAACCAUCAAUUAUCCAUAUGUUACCUAAAUUCCAUAAAUUCGAAAAUAAACAACCUUAUAAUCAUGUGCAUAAAUUUAUUACAAUUCUAAACACUGUCAAGAAUCGACAUUUGGGUACUGACGGUUUUAGGUUGCGUUUGUUUCCCUUAACCCUUGAAAAUAAAGCUGCCUAUUGGAUUAAAUUUUUACCAGCCAAUUCAAUCACUACAUGGGAAGGGUUACAAAGAAAAUUCCUAGCAAAGUUUUACCCAUAAGACAAAACAGAUGCUCUGAGAGCUGCAAUAGCCAAUUUUAAAGGAAAACCCGACGAAGAAUUUUUUGAAAGUUGGGAGCGUUUUAACGAUUUACUUAUUCGUUGCCCACUCCAUAACUUCGACAAAGUACAACAAGUUUACCAUUUUUACAAAGGAAUUUUGGAAUGAAUCGAACAUUACUCGAGUCGAUGCACCAAGGAAAAUUUUUAAAACAAAAGGCCGAAGAUGCUUAGAAAUUCCUUGAGGAACUAACCGAGAACACCUUAAAAUGUGGUGGCAGCAAUAAGGACAUUGAUAAAAUAGAGGGAAUACUGGAAAAAAAAAAAAAACUGGAAUGUAUAAUGUUAAGCAAGACUCCGAACUUAUAUCGACAGUAUCUAAGCUAGCUACCACCGUUGAGUCUUUAAGUAAGAAAAUGGAUACUUUUAGAAUGGCUUUUGCCAAUAAUAUUAAUCUCAUACUGUUGAUGCCUGUCCAGUUUUUACCGUGAAUGAACCCACUUCCGAACAAGUUUUUACUUAUAAUGCUUACAAUAGGAGACCCACUGCCAAUCCCUUUAUAAAUACUUACUAUCCUGAUAUGAGGAAUCAUCCUAAUUUUAUGUGGAACGAACCAAAUAAUGUCGUGAAUCCUCCUAAUUACCCAAACAAUAGGCCAACACAACCUCAAGACAAUAAUAGAGCCAUUGUGGUAGACCCCAUGACCAAUUAUCAAACAUCCGUAGCCCAGCCUAACAAUAAUGCAAGUUUGGAAAAUACACUUAAAAGAGUUUAUCCAAAAUUUGGAACAAACUAAUAAACAAAUAUAUGUAUUCAAUGCAAGAGUAAAAUAGUAAGUAAAUGCAAAUGAUGCAACAAUUAUGUUGAGUCAAGUCGUUACCACUUUAGUUGAGAGACCAAAAAGUAGUUUACCAAGUCAACCUGAGCCAAAUCCUAGAGGACAAGGCGUAUAUGAGGCAUCCACCUCAAACCAACAAAUGAAUACAAUAACUACACUUAGAUCUGGAAAGAAAGUUGACAACAAAAUGGGUUACGUUCUUGAACAAGAUAAUUCUAUACAAGAAGAAAAAAUAGAAGAAUCUCAACUAAACUUAGAUACAUAAUCUGUUGAAGAAAGUGAGAAAGAAUCGCCUCCUACAAAAGAAAAUGAAGUAGUUGCACCAAAGAAGAAUCAAGAGCCGUAAAAAAACAAACCAACACUGACAAUACCACGACCCAAUGCACCAUAUCCGUCCAGAUUAAAACCCAGACAAGAAAGUAAGUUCAAUGAACUAGCGGAAAUUUUUCAACACCUUCAAAUCAAUAUUCCAUUCUUAACAUCCAUCAAACAAAUACCGGCCUAUGAAAAAUUUAUCGAGGAUAUGCUUAAAAAGAAAACAAUAUAUGAGGAGAAAAAAUUGAGAAAGUAACUUUUUCGAUAAUUCACCAUCCCAUCUACAAGCCUAUACAAGCCCAUACUUCUCUCAAACAUUUGUGCAUCAAGUUUGUGUUGGAGGAGAUUAUUUUAAUUAUAUGAACUUUUUUUCCGCGCUAUCUAGUUUGUCGCUAAUUUCAUUGGUUCAAUUAAUCUGGAAGGAUCAUAAAUUGUUUAGGAUUUUGACAUUUGGCUAAUACCAAUGAGAAUGUCUAGUACAUCUGGCUCAAGACGAAAAACUUAGCGCCACUAGGAAGCCACCUAGGAAAUUGUUUGACUAAAUAUAAUAGACAUGCUCAUGGGUUCAAAACUCUAUAUAAUAAUAUAAAAAUUCAAUGAAAACGUGGAUGGUGUAAGAUGUUUCAUAUGUAGUACAGUUCUGUUGGUAAUAAAAUUCUCUUUCAAUUAAAUUUUUGCUUAUGUUAUUAAAUUCUUUUAUAUUGAGGACAAUGCAUGAUUUAAUUUGGGGGAGUGGCUAAAAUUUAAAUCUUGAAAUUUUAUUACCUAAUAUAUAUAUAAAAAAAAAGACUAAUGGUGAUUUUCUAUGAUAAGAUAUAAAUUUUUAAAGUUCAUGUGUUUGGGAAUUGUAAACAUGGAAAAUCAUUUCAAAAGUUAUUUAUGUAGUUAGAUUAUGUGUUAUUACUAUAAAUAGAUUUUAUUCGUAAAAAUCCUGACUUGGAAAAUUUUAUUCCCGAAAGCCACAAAUGUAGUUUGAAUUGAAGAGCAAUUAACUUUCUAAGGAUCUAAAGGAAUAAGUGUGGAGACCAUAUAACCGUGUGAAACUCGAGCCAUUAUUUUGUUUGGAGAGUUAUAUACGCCACUUCGGGUCCUACGUGGCUCAAUUUUUCUUUCAGCGUAAUUUGAGUUCGUUCUAGUCUCAUUAUUUUUACUUUGAUUGAUCACGAGAGUGAAGUCAUGGGGAGAUAUAAACUUGGGUCUUGUAGUCUAUUCGAGGCGAAAUUACCAUACUACCCUAUUAGAGAUGAAAAUAAGUAUUUUUUUUAGUUUUAGUCAAUUUAGCCUUUAGCACACCUAAAAUAAUAAUAUCCAAGUAGGAGCCCCUCUGAGCCUUUGACUAAGCCAUUUUCUAAGCCCAUUAUCCAUACCCAAUACUCGAAAUUUGGAGUUUACACCUCAAAUUAUAUACAUUACCUAUCUUUUCAGAGAUACUUAGGAUGAAUUAUGAAGACAAACAGUAGAAAAAUGAGAAUGAUAGUCCUUUCUUUAUUAAAAAAAAAAAAAAAAGAGUUGAUGGAAUCAAAAAAAAUAUCCAUGUAUGAUCGAUUCAAUGAAGAAAUGGAUAUUAGUGAAUUUCAAAGUUCGAGAUAUUGAAGAUAUAUGAAAGUAUGAAGAUUCAAGUCUCCAAAAAUGAGAUUAUAAGUCCAAAGUUUAUCAAAGAUCAAUGAAGACCCUUAGUAUCUAUAGAAAACUUUGAUCAUUUAUCUUUCUUUCAUAAACCCGUCCCAAGCCAAGUUACAACCUUUAUAUACUUAUUCGAUUCAAAGGGAUGUAUGGUAAAAUGUGGAGAAUAGGUGAGAAGGCGUAAAGGUGAAAUACCCGAUUCUCUCGCAUAUGAUCAAUAUUCAUUCUAUGAGACUAUUCUAAAAAUAAAGCGUUUAUUUUAUAUAUGCGAGAUGUUCUGAUUUUUAUCUCCUUCCCUCACAUAUAGAGGUAAAAUGAUAAAAGCAAUCUCUAAGCGAUUUUCGUUCUGAGUGUAUGCCCGGUGAGAUUUGGGUCAAAGCGAAUUUUCCGAAAGAAAAUUAGGAAUUCUUUUGCUUGGACAAGAAAAAUUAUAUUUUGUGGCUAUUUACACACACAUACACUCCUUGUCAGGAUUAUGAUCAGAUAGUCUCUAUUUCUAGAAAUAAAAUAAUCUGUUACAUUUAUGCUGGAUGGUUUGAUGUAAAAUGUGAGCAUGAACUUUACAUUUGAAAAAUAUUGUUUUCUCUGAGAAAAGUUGCAUCACCAUUAGUCCCAUUUUUGUUUUUCUGAAUUUUGUGGGUAUAUUCUCUAUAAACCCUCAUCCCACUAGGGGGAACCUACGGGUUUAAAGCCUUACUAUAAAGAUCUACUACAUAAAAAAUCAGCCCAUUUGAAUAUAUUUAGACCCAUCAAAUGUAAUAUUAAAUUCAACGGUAAAAAUGAAUGAUCCACAAUACAUUAACUUGUAAUAUGAUUUUUCUAGGGUUGGAAAAUUCAGAUUAUGAUAAAUUUUGGUGAAGAUGCCGUACAUAAUGAAAACAUUCAUCCUAUAAAAAAUCAUGCCAAUCCAGCAUGAACAAGUACCCUAAAUAGGAUUGAUUCAAAAUUGAGUCAAACAUUUCCUGAGUCCCUGGAACCCCUCCCUAUUAAUAUAUAUAUAUAUAUAUAUAUACAGAGGGGCAUACGGACUUUGAGUUUUUAGAUAAAAUCACGUGAGCAGCCAUUUAGUUUACGUAAAUGUGGUUAUCACUCCGGGUUUAGAAAAACCCAGUUAGGCCCGGUUAACAUAAUUACUUCUUUGUCGCAAACUCUUCUUUCUCUGUUCGUGUACUUACUUGGUUUCAUAGAAAAAACCUUUGCAAGCUGAUUCCUUCUGUGGUUCUCUGAGUCUUUGUCUCUAGUCUUUCUUUAAAUUUGUCUUCUGUUGGUAUUAUUAUGUGUGAACUCAGGAAUACAGUUUACACGAAUUACAGAAAUGAAAAUACACUAGAACAGAAAACAAGUAAUAUAUUUAUUAAUUGAAUUCAACAAAACAGUAACACUUACUACACUGUAUGAAGGAUUAAGGAGAUGAACAGAGGCUUGCCGAAGCAAUAUCCUUAAGACAAUAUUACGUCCCUACUACUGGUGCACACAGGUACUGGACGAUAGUCUCCCAAGAUACAACUGUUCUGCACUCUGCUAGACUGCACUGUGAUAGCAGAGUUCUGGCGAACAAACAAGAAGAACCUUCGAAUACUUUAGAGAGAGAGAGAGAGAAGAAGACUUAGUCUGUAUUGAUUGUGUGCUUACUGGCCAGAACAACACGCAAUUUAUAGGCUAAGUCGUGCCUGUUCACAACAGACACGCACCUGUUGGAAAACGUCUUUUCUCAACAGGUGCAACUCUUGGCAGACUUAUGAAACGUUUAAGGCCCAAGGGACGUACUGUUUCAUUUUGAACAGACACAUCUGUUAAAGUAAAGAUGUAACAUGAUCCUGUGAACCCGUUCACAACUUAACUAAAUAAGUGGUGGACCAAAAAGAUAAGAUAACUUAUCAACCACCACAUAGCCCAAGCCCAAGCCCGAGCCCGAACACGAACCGAGCCGAGCAGAGCCGGCCGGUCGGUCGGACGGUGGGGCGCGCGCGCGUGUGUGGUGGACCACUAAGUGUAUAGCCUUGCGCUAUCGCGCGAAAACUUGGUAACCCAAAGGGCUACACCCUUAGUGUUAUUAUUUUGUAUUUAUACAUCUUUACUCACUUCCCACAACUCAUGUGGGACUAAGUGUUUUUCACACUUAGUUCAUUCAAUCAAGGAAAUGGUCUGACAGGGUCUGUCAGACCUGUUUCUCUAACAAUCCCCCACAUUGAAUGAAAUCCGUCUACACAUUCUCAAAAAAGCUUAUUCGAAGAGUAUGUUGGAACAACAUUGCCUCGGGAUAGGUAGAUAUUUCACUUUGAACCUUCCGUAGCAUAGACCUAUCGGAUUUACUUAGCUAAUCAGGGAAAUUUUUCAUCUUGAACUGUCAGCUGUUGGUGUAAACCAAGACAAUAAGCCAUGCACAAUGUUAUCCCGAUUCUUCUUUAAUUCUCGGUUGUGUUCAUUUUGGCCCUGAACAAUCUUAGGUUCUGCGAGUGCUAUUAGAGAUAUUCUGCCUUUAAGAAAUCUCAUAGAGCCGACCCAGCUCUCACUAACAUAGGUGACCGCUCCUAUUUAAGGGUAUCCUACUAUACCCCACUUGUAUUUCACAAGAUAUAGGCGUCAUUAAAAGCAUAGCUUAGCCUGAACGACACUGUAGGUUGCACUUGUUGCAUCAUGGGAAUGGGAUAGAGAAAAUUCUCCCAAGUGCUCCUGGUGAGUUACUCAGAACUGGUUGUCCUGUUGAACCUAGUCCGUGGGAUCUCCAGUCGCUAGGUUAGGUUUUCGUACAAGGUAACUCGUGGUUAUUGAGGCGUUAGCCCCAUUCCCCUCGAUGCGCAGUCAAUUUUCUCUCUAGAUAAACCUUUAGUAAACGGAUCCGCAAGGUUAUCUUUUGACUUCACAUAAUCAAUGGAGAUGACUCCAUGUGAGAGUAACUGCCUCACGGUAUUAUGUCUACGACGUAUAUGUCGUGAUUUACCGUUAUACAUAAAGCUUUGAGCUCUUCCUAGAGCUGCUUGAUUGUCACAAUGGAUACAUAUGGUCGAUACCGGUUUCGACCAUAAUGGGAUGUCUUCUAAGAAACCCCUAAGCCACUCAGCUUCUUCACCUGCUUUAUCUAAAGCUAUGAAUUCAGAUUCCAUUGUGGAUCUUGCUAUGCAAGUUUGUUUUGCAGAUCGCCAUGAUACUGCACCACCUCCCAAAGUAAACACAUACCCACUGGUUGCCUUGGAUUCUCCUGAAUCAGAAUUCCAAUUUGCAUCAGUAUAACCUUCAACAACACUUGGAUAUCUUCCAUAGUGUAAGGUAUAAUUAGGUGUAUCUUUUAAAUACCCUAAUACUCGCAAAAGAGCAUUCCAGUGUUUUUGGCCUGGAUUACUAGUAAACCGACUUAGUUUACCAACUGCAUAGGCAAUAUCUGGUCUUGUACAGUUCUUGACGUAUAUUAAACUACCAAUGAUUCGAGAGUACUCGAGUUGAUCAAUGAUAGGACCAUGAUUUUUAUGUAACACCAUAUUUGGAACAAAAUGUGUAUUUGUCUUUUUAAUUCCAUGAUGUUUGAACCUCUCUAUCAUUUUUUCAAUAUAAUGAGUUUGAGAUAGCCCAAUUCCAUUAGGUGUUCUAAUUAUCUUAAUUCCCAAGAUAACAUCUGCCACACCUAGAUCUUUCACUUCAAAGUUGUUUUUGAGCAUCUUUUUCGUAGACAUAAUAAUUUCAUUAUUAGUCCCGAAAAUGAGCAUGUCAUCGACAUAUAAACAAAUAAUGACGUAAGCCUCGCCUACUUUCUUGAAAUAGACACACUUGUCACAUUCAUUGCUUUGGAACCCAUUCUUCAUCAUGACUCCAUCGAUGGUUAUAUGCCGUUGUUUUGGAGCCUGUUUAAGACCAUAGAGGGAUUUAACCAGUUUACACACUUUGUUUUCUUUCCCUUUGACUUGAAAACCUUCUGGUUGUUCCAAAUAAAUCUCCUCUUUUAAGUCACCAUAUAAGAAUGCAGUUUUAACAUCCAUCUGAUGUAUUUCCAUAUUAAAUAUGGCUGCAAUCGCGAUUAACAUUCUAAUUGAUGUUAUCCUCGUUACUGGUGAGUAUGUGUCAAAAUAGUCUAAACCUUCCUUUUGACGAUAUCCUUUUGCUACUAGUCUAGCUUUAUACUUAUCAACUGAACCAUCUGGUUUUAGUUUUCGUUUGAAUAUCCACUUAUACCCCAUGGUUUUACUUCCUGGUGGAAGAUCUACCAAUUCCCAGGUAUUGUUGCUUUGGAUGGAUUCAAUCUCAUUUGCAAUUGCUUCCUUCCAAAGUGGAGCAUCAGGAGAAGACAUUGCUUCUUUAUAUGUCCUAGGUUCAGUUUCUAACAUAUAAGUUAAGAAAUCUGGACCAUAUGACUUCGAAGUUCUUGCCCUUUUACUGCGUCUGGGCUCUUCCAAUUCAGGCUCAUCUGAAUUGUCAUCUGGUUCAUUUGUUCCAUUAGACACCUCAUGUGUCCGUUUUGGAGUUUUAUCUACAUGAUCUUUCCUAUGAGGAAAGACACUCUCGAAGAAUGUAGCAUCACGAGAUUCAAUAAUAGUGUUAACACUUAUGUCACUAUUUUCAGAUUUAAAUACCAAAAAUAUGUAUGCACUACUGCUUUGGGCAAAACCCAAAAAAUAGCAAUCAACUGUUUUAGGCCCAAGUUUAGUUCUCUUGGGUGGAGGAACCAUUACUUUGGCCAGACACCCCCACACUUUAAGGUAUUUAUAAUUGGGUUGUCGUCCUUUCCAUAACUCAUAUGGAAUGGUUUCAGUUUUCUUGUGUGGUACUCUGUUUAAUAUGUGAUUAGACAUAUGUAGAGCUUCCCCCCACAGGUUCUCAGGUAGACCAGAAGUUAUAAGCAUGAUAUUAAUCUUAUCUUUUAACGUUCUGUUCUUCCUUUCAGCAACACCAUUUUGCUGAGGUGAGUAGGGUGCUGUGGUUUGAUGGAUUAUUCUAUUUUCAGCACAGACUUGUACGAAUGGUGAUUCGUAUUCACCCCCUCUAUCAGAUCUUAUGAUCUUGAUUUUCUUAUCUAACUGAUUCUCAACUUCAGUUUUGUACUUUAUAAAAGCACUUAAUGUCUCGUUUUUACUGUUAAGUAAAUAUACAUAACAGUAGCGAGUACAGUCAUCAAUAAAUGUGAUAAAAUACUUCUUCCCACCUCGUGUUGGAAGUGAUUUAAAAUCACAUAAAUCAGUAUGUAUUAAACCUAGUGGCUGAGUACUUCUCUCAACCGAAUGAAAAGGUUGUUUAGCAAAUUUUGCUUCCACACAAGUCUCACACUUAUGUGUUUUCUCUAUGUCAAAUUUAGGAAUUAAUCCUAAACUUGCUAGUUUCUUCAUUUUUCUGUAAUUAACAUGACCUAAUCUGUCAUGCCAUAAAUGUGGUGACUCAAGCAAGUAAGAAGAAUUAUUUUUAUUCAUAGAAUCAGAAUACACUUUUGCCUUGUUGGUUUCGACAACGGCUACAUUUGCCUUAAAGAGGCCAUCACUUAGAUACCCCUUUCCCACAUACAUCCCACCUUUGGUCAGCACAAACUUAUCUGAUUCAAAGACCAUUUUGAAACCUUUCUUACUAAGGACAGAACCAGACACGAUGUUCUUCCUGAUGUCAGGUACAUGGAGAACAUCAUUGAGAGUGACUUUGUGUCCAGAAGUGAAUUUCAGAACCACUUUCCCAUAGCCUUCAACCAUUGAAACUGAAGAAUUGCCCAUAAAGAGCUUUUCUUCAUGCUCCAUCUUCUGGUAGGUAGAGAAGAGACUCUUGUUAGCACAGAUAUGACGGGUAGCCCCAGUGUCUAUCCACCAUUCCUUGGUAUUAGAUACCAAGUUCACUUCAGAAACCACCGCAGACAGGUGCAUGUUGUCAAUCUCCCUGGAUAUGUCAGUCAUGUUCGCCUCAGGAGUUUUUUCGUCUUUGCGGUGCCUGCAAUCUUUGGCCAAGUGACCUUUCUUACCACAAACAAAACAACCCCCUUUGAACUUUUUCUGACCUUUGUCCUUGGGUGCAUUGUUGGACUGAUUCUUCUUCCUCUUCUUAGAGGAAGUCUUACUUUGCUUUGAGGUCUCCACCAGAUGUGCCUUAGCUUCAAACGUACUUCGGGUUUCAGUACCUCUGUUGUCCUCUUCAAUCUUCAGUCGCACUAUCAGAUCAUCCAGACAUAUUUCCUUUCACUUAUGUUUCAGAUAAUGCUUGAAAUCUUUCCAAGAAGGAGGCAGUUUCCCAAUGAGUGUUGGCACUUGAAAAGACUCACCAAUUACAUGGCCCUCAGCAUGGACUUCAUGUAAUAUGAUCUGGAGUUCUUGGAUUUGAUCAGAAACAGACUUGGAAUCAAUCAUUUUGUAGUCCAUAAAUUUAUCGACCACAAAUUUCUUGAGACCAACAUCUUCAGUCUUGUAUUUAUUUUCCAGAGCCUCCCACAGUAAUCUGGCAGUAACAAUAGGUUUAUAAACCUUGUACAGCACUUCAUCAAGCGAAUUCAGAACAUAAUUUCGACAAAGGAAAUCAGAAUGCUUCCAUGCUUCAAUAGCCUGGAACACUUCCUUGUCUGUUUCAGCAGUCUGACCAGGUUUGGGCUUAGGAGUAUCUUCAGUUAAGAACUUUGCCAAACCGAGAGUGGUCAGAUAGAACAACAUCUUGCUCUGCCAUGUCUUGAAAUCCACACCCUUGAAUUUCUCUGGCUUGUCUUGAGGAGUGAUGAUCUUGAUCUUAGUCAGAUCAGACACUUCAGUAGUCUUCAAAGAAGAACUGCUCGUAAUUUUUCCUAUUAUUUCACACAAAAACCAACUUUUUAUAUUGUCUUAAGUCUGUUGGUAUUAUUAUGUGUGAACUCAGGAAUACAGUUUACACGAAUUACAAAAAUGAAAAUACACUAGAACAGAAAACAAGUAAUAUAUUUAUUAAUUGAAUUCAACAAAACAGUAACACUUACUACACUGUAUGAAGGAUUAAGGAGAUGAACAGAGGCUUGCCGAAGCAAUAUCUUUAAGACAAUAUUACGUCCAUGCUACUGGUGCACACAGGUACUGGACGAUAGUCUCCCAAGAUACAACUGUUCUGCACUCUGCUAGACUGCACUGUGAUAGCAGAGUUCUGGCGAACAAACAAGAAGAACCUUCGAAUACUUUAGAGAGAGAGAGAGAGAGAAGCAGACUUAGUCUGUAUUGAUUGUGUGCUUACUGGCCAGAACAGCACGCAAUUUAUAGGCUAAGUCGUGCCUGUUCACAACAGACAUGCACCUGUUGGAAAACGUCUUUUCUCAACAGGUGCAACUCUUGACAGACUUAUGAAACGUUUAAGGCCCAAGGGACGUACUGUUUCAUUUUGAACAGACACAUCUGUUAAGGUAAAGAUGUAACAUGAUCCUGUGAACCCGUUCACAACUUAACUAAAUAAGUGGUGGACCAAAAAGAUAAGAUAACUUAUCAACCACCACAUAGCCCAAGCCCAAGCCCGAACACGAACCGAACCGAGCCGAGCCGAGCCGGCGCGCGCGCGUGUGUGGUGGACCACUAAGUGUAUAGCCUUGCGCUAUCGCGCGAAAACUUGGUAACCCAAAGGGCUACACCCUUAGUGUUAUUAUUUUGUAUUUAUACAUCUUUACUCACUUCCCACAACUCAUGUGGGACUAAGUGUUUUUCACACUUAGUUCAUUCAAUCAAGGAAAUGGUCUGACAGGGUCUGUCAGACCUGUUUCUCUAACAUCUUCUUGGUUAGAUAUCCUUCUCUUUAGGUGUGAAACUUGUUCCAAGUGCGCGCCCGAGCUUCGGUAUUUUUUUUAGAACUGGUUAGUUCUUUUUUUUUUUUUUUUUUUACUUCAUCCAUCUCCAUCUUUAGUUAUCAAAUUAAGAUUGAAGUCUGGAAUCCAUACAAUUUAUAAUGUGUUCUUCACUUUAUGGUACUCAUGAUACUAAUUCAGUAAAGUGAGUUUUUUAUUUUUUUAUUAGCAUUUUCAGCAAUUAAUUUUUAUAUCUUAAUUUUGAGUGUAAAUUGUUUUUUUUUUCCUUCAAUAAUCAGGUUGUUACAUGGAUAAUAUUGAACCCGAGAAUGAAUUUUUUGAGGUAAAUGGACAUGGAAAUGAUAUGGAAGAAGUAGCGAUGGUAGAGAAUGUAGAUGAAUCUUCCAAGUGUGAUAUUAUUCCUCAAGUGCCAAAUGAUCUAAAACCUAUGAGGGGGCAGGAAUUUUCCUCACUUGAUGAAGUUUUAGAAUUCUACAAUGCAUAUGCAAAACAUGCAGGCUUUAGUGUUCGAAAAUGGGCUGAAAAAAAGAAUAAGAAUAAAGAGAUCAUAAGAAAGGAGUAUGUUUGUUUUAAAGAAGGAAAAUGCUCAAUAGUAGAGGAAGUUGAAAAAUCAAGGCAUCGAGGUUCGGUAAGAAAGGGUUGCAAGGCAAGAAUAGCUGUUUCAAAGUCAUCAAAUGGUAAAUUUGUAGUUACAUUAAUUGUUAAGGGCCAUAACCAUCCGUUAUCAACCCCAAGAUAAACUCAUCUUCUAAGAUCACAUCGUGAAUUUUCAAGCGCCUACAAAUGCUUGUCUCAACAACUUUCCAUGGUUAAUAUACCAACACAUCAACAGUACAAUUUUUUGGGGGUACAGGCUGGAGGAUUUGAAAAUAUUGGAUGUACUCAAAAAGAUUUGUACAAUUACAAUAGAGAUGUGCGUAAAGAGUUAAAAGGCCAUGAUGCAGAAAUGUUUCGUGAGUACUUGAAGUCAGAAGAAGAGAAAAAUCCAUCAUUCACAUACAACAUUGACGUAGAUGACGAGCAAAGAAUUUGUCGUACCUUUUGGGCAAAUGCAACCUCAAGAAGAGAUUAUGCGUUGUAUGGUGAUGUAGUUGUAUUUGACACUACGUAUGACACCAACCGUUACAAAUUGAUCCUUGCACCUUUGAUGGGUGUUAAUAAUAAUGGUCAGACGAUUAUCUUUGGAUGUGCAUUCUUAAGUGACGAGACCAUUCCUUCUUUUAUUUGGUUAUUGAAGCAAUUUUUGCUAGCUAUGCCAGGUGAUGCUCCUAAAAUGAUUAUUACCGAUCAGGAUCCAGCAAUGACAAAUGCAAUUGCCCAAACUCUUCCCAGUACUUUUCACAGGUAUUUUUUUUUCAUUUAGUUGAUAAUGGUUAGCUAAGAUAUGUUUUUCCACUAUUGUCUUCUUGAACAAUUUUAUAUAGUUCCCUUUCAACUUUCACAGGUAUUGCAGUUGGCAUAUUUUGAAUAAAUUUUCUGAGAAGUUGGAUGCGGUGAUAUACAGUGUCUACUAUAAAGAGUUUUACUAUUGCAUAUGGAACUCAAAAAGUAAGGAAGAAUUCGACUUGGUUUGGUUAGAACUUAUACAAAGAAGUGGUCUUCAAGACAACAAAUGGCUACGGUCAAUGUUUGAAAUUCGUUUAAAGUGGGUGCCUGCGUAUACAAGGCAUGUCUUCUCAGCUGAAAUGACUAGUAGCCAAAGAGUAGAGAGUUCUCAUUCAUUCUUUAAGAAAUAUGUUGGAGAAGAUAAUUCGAUGGUUGAUUUCAUGGUUCAGUUUGAUAGGGGACUUCAAAAGCAACGUCAUGAAACAUUGAUUGCAGAUAACAAAGAUGUGAUUGAGAAGCCUAAACUAAAAAUGCUCAAUGACAUCUUGGUGCAGAUGGUUGAUAUCUAUACGAAUGAGAUCUUUUAUAAAUUCCAGAGUGAGUUGUUAGAGAGCUUUAAUUAUAAAUUUCGACUUAUCAAUGAGACAGAUACUCAUAGAGUUUGCAGGACUCAAAGAAAAAAUGUUGAAACAGAUAAAGGGAGACAAGUUUCGUAUGAAAAGGAUUCAGAUUAUGUUUCUUGUACAUGUAACAAAUUUGAAAGCAUGGGCAUCCCAUGUCGACACGUUUUGGCAUAUUUGCAUAAAUAUACAGAUUUUGAAAAAUUGCCAAGUCAUUAUAUUUUGAAGAGGUGGAAAAAAUCUGCUAAAUCUGAGACAGUCAUAGAUUGUACUGGUAUUGAGAUAGUUGAUAACAAAUCCUAUUUUCUGGAACGAAGUAGAUUAAUUCAGUGUUGUUUGGGUGUAGUUAAUAAAGCUCUUACAAGUGAAGAAGCUAAGAAAGUUUUGAUCGAUUCAUUAUGCAGUGCAGAAGAGAAAAUUAAUCUAUUGGUUGAUUCUGGUAGGAAGGAAAAGAAAACCAGUGGUACUUGUGGCAAAAGAACAAGGGAAGUGGUUGAUAAUGUUGCAUAUGCAGAACUGGCAAAACAAAUGAAUUGUGAGGAGGUUGCUACUUAUCGUGAACCAAAUCAAGUAAGGGCAAAAGGUUCUGGUAAAAGGAUUAAAGGUGGGAAAGAAAAAGCACUAGGGAGUAGCAGAAAAGAACCCAAAGUGAGAUUAUGUAAGGGAUGUGGUGAGCGAGGAGUAGGACAUGAUGUAAGAACUUGUCCAAAAGUUGUAGGUGCUUCACUUUCGCAGCCAUGAGACAUUUGUGGUAUAAGUUCUUCAGUAUGUUGACUAACUAUGUAGCACGGACACUUCAAAAAUAUGUGGAGUAGCAGCGUCAGACACGGUUCGGACACGGACACGACUCGGACACGCACGUGCCGUGUCGCACGUGCAGAUUCGAUCAGACACGGAUCGGACACGGAUCGGACUUUAGAGAACUCAGAACAGAGAUUAUCAGAUUACUUUUCUUUCUCUCUCUUCCUCUCUCUUCACUCUCGAUCGAACUUCUUCUCUUCACUCUCGAUCGAACUCGAUCGAACUUCUUCUCUUCACUCUCGAUCGAACUUCUUCUCUUCACUCUCGAGUCUCGAAUCUCGACGAAGAAGAACAAGUGAACAACCUGCUAUUGUAAUCGAUCUGCUACUGUAAGUUAUUCUUCUUUAUUUCGAACUCAAAAUUUGUUAAAUUUGUAAUCGAUCUGCUACUGUAAUCGAUCUUUGUUAAAUUUGUAAUCGAUCUGCUACUGUAAUCGAUCUUAAUCGAUCUGCUACUGUAAUCGAUCUGCUAUCGCCUAUCGAUGAUCUUCAUCUUUGUUAAAUUUGUAAUCGAUGAUCUUCAUCUUUGUUAAAUUUGUAAUCGAUGAUCUUCUUCUUCUUCUUUUCUUCUUGCUACUGUAAGUCUGUAAUCAAUUUGUUACCUGCUACUUCUUCUUCUUCUUGCUACUGUAAUCAAUUUGUUCUCUUCUUUUUCUCUUUCUCUUGUACAGUUGUACUAGAUUGUUGAAACCAUGAGUGGAGAACCAUCCAACAACAGCACCAAGAAUCCUCUUUGGAAGUAUGUACAAGUUGUAGAGAAGGUACAGGGAGGAGGAAAUGUCUGUUUCGUGUGUUCUUAUUGCAAUAAAAUUAUUACGGGUUCUUAUGCACGCUUAAAAGGGCAUUUGUUGAAGAUUGGUGGUACAGGAACUAUGAAAUGUACCAAAGUAUCUAACAAUGAUUUGGUCAUGAUGCAAAGAGAAGUUGAAGAGUUUGAAUUGAGCAAGAAACAAUCUUUACCCAAACAAGUCCCACUUCCACCAUCCGCUAGUCGAACUACUUCUUUUUCAUCUUCGGCUUCAACGGGAACUUCAAUUGGAACUCGUCUUCGAGGUUUCGAUGUUCUUCCAUCAAAGAGGAAGAAGAUAGUGGGUGACUCUCCUCUUGAGAGAGCUUUUAACAUGGAAGCUCGAAAUGAAUUAGAUUGUGAAAUUGCAAGAAUGUUCUAUUCAUCAGGUUUGUCGUUUGUUCUUGCAAAGAAUCCAUACUACAUUCGCUCGUAUACUAGAGCCGCGAAUAGCAAAAAUCUUGUUGGUUAUGUUCCUCCUGGUUAUAAUGCUUUGAGAACCACACUUUUACAAAAAGAGAGACAACACAUUGAGGGGUUGCUUGAACCUCUUAAGUCGGCUUGGAAGGAGAAAGGUGUGAGCAUUGUUAGUGAUGGGUGGACAGAUGCUCAAAGAAGGCCAAUUAUCAACUUUAUGGCGGCUAGUGAAAGUGGUCCAAUGUUCUUACAAGCGGUCAAUUGUGAGGGUGAAUACAAAGAUAAGUUUUUUAUUUCUAACUUGCUCAAAGAAGUCAUUCAAUCAGUUGGGCCUCUUAAUGUAGUUCAAGUGAUUACAGACAAUGCACCUGUAUGUAGGAGUACAGGGUUGUUAAUUGAAAACCAGUUUCCUCAUAUUUUUUGGACUCCUUGUGUGGUGCAUACUUUGAAUCUUGCUUUGAAGAAUAUUUGUGCUGCAAAGAAUACACAAAGCAAUGCGGAAACAUAUGAAGAGUGUAGUUGGAUUACAGAAAUUACUGGAGAAGUCAUGACAAUCAAGAACUUCAUUAUGAAUCAUUCUAUGCGGUUGUCAAUGUUUAAUACUCAUUCUAUAUUGAAGAUGCUUGCAGUUGCAGAAACUCGCUUUGCUUCAAGCAUUAUCAUGCUUAGAAGAUUCAAGAAGAUCAAACAAGGGCUUUUGAAUAUGGCAGUUAGUCCAACUUGGACAAACUAUAGGGAGGAUGAUGUUCUUAAAGCUGCCAUGGUCAAGGAGAAGAUUUUGAAUGAUUUGUGGUGGGAUAAGAUUGAUUACAUACUUUCUUUCACCGAGCCUAUAUAUGAUAUGUUGAGGAAGGCGGAUACCGAUAGACCAUGUCUUCACUUGGUGUAUGAUUGGUGGGACAGUAUGAUAGAAUCUGUGAAGAUAGCUAUUUACCACCAUGAGGGAAAACUAGAUGACGAGGAUUCAUCAUUUUAUUCCGUUGUGCAUACUAUACUAGUGGAUCGUUGGGCUAAAAGUAACACACUUCUUUAUUGUUUGGCUCACUCUUUGAACCCUAGGUAAUAUUCAUAUCACUAUUAGUCUAUUACUUAUAUAUUUGUAUUUUACUUGCAUGUCUUCAUUUUUUUUUUUAUAUUAAUGGUUUACUAUAAAUAAUGAUAUAGGUAUUAUAGUGUUGAAUGGCUUGGUGAGUCACCUAAUCGGGUUCCCCCACAUAAGGACAAGGAGAUUUCAGACGAAAGGCAAAAAUGCUUUGAGAGGUAUUUUCCUUCCACCCUCGAACGUAGAGAAGCUAACACGGAGUUUGCUAAGUUCUCCGCUUCUUUGAGGGAGUUUGCUAGUAGUGAUUCGAUUAGUGAUCGUGGAUAUAUGGAUCCGGAUUUGUGGUGGGUUACACAUGGAUCUUCCACACCAUUGCUUCAAAAUCUAGCCUUGAAAUUACUUGGUCAACCUUGUUCUUCUUCUUGUUGUGAGAGAAAUUGGAGUACAUACUCCUUUAUCAACUCUUUGAUUAGGAACAAGAUAACACCACAAAGAGGGGAAGACUUGGUAUUUGUUCAUUCAAACCUUCGUCUUCUAUCAAGGCAAUCUUCGGAAUAUAAACAAGGUGAGAGUAGCAUGUGGGACGUGGGAGGAGAUGGAUUUGAUACUUUGAAUGAUAUUGGGAUUCUUGAAAUGGCAGACCUCUCUCUUGAUGAGCCGGAAAUGGAAACUAUGUUGUACACAAGUGAUGAUGUAGUUGAUGAUGAUGUUGAGUUAUUGGAUUUGGAUGGUAAAGAUAACUAAUUAAGUAUGUUGAAAUGGAAGCUAUGUUGUACACAACUAUGAAAUAUGAAUAUAUGAUAUAUUGAUAUGAUAUCUCAUUUGAUUUUAGUGUUUUAUACAUGUUUUGUACAUAUAUAUUAAAAAAAAAAUAUUAUUUAAUUCCCGUGUCCAUGCCGUGUCCGUGUCCUAUAUUUUUAGAUAUUGUCGUAUCGCCGUGUCCGUGUCCGAGUCCGUGUCCGUAUCCGUGUCCGAGUCCGUGCUACCUAGUUGACUAAUAAUGCUUGAAUUUGGUUUAAUAUGAUGGUGGGAAGGCCAAUUGUUCGGUUAUGUUGCAGCUACAACAAAGAGUAUAGACUCGAAAUGUUUUUUUUUUUCUUUCUUUUGAAAUUAGAAUAUAACUUGUCAUUGUUACUGUUCCAUGGUUCUUAUUUAGUUGCGUAAUAAAAUACUAGUGUAGUUUUUAAAGUAUAUUUUCAUGGUAGUUUAAUUGAUGUAAGCACAAUUACAAAGAAUACAAAUCAGAAAAUGAAGCUAGAAAAAUAUUACUACUUCUAGUAGUAUCUAUAUUAUAUUGUGUGUGGACACACAAACUUGGGAGAUAAACAUAACUAGACAAAGACAGAAAAUGGGCUUAAGUUGUUAUGUUAUAUGGGCUUAAGUUGUUGUUAUGUUUUAAAUUGGGCUUGAGAUGGGCUUUAGUUGAAACCUUAUUGGAAACAGAAUAUGGGUUUAAGUUGUUAUGUUAUAUGGGCUUAAGUUGUUCUUAUGUUUCAAAUUGGGUUUGAGAUGAGCUUUAGUUGAAAAUACUUAUCAACCUUUAUAACAGAGCUAUCAACUGCUCCUUUCACUCCACCGCCGGAGUCGAAUCACUUCACUACUCCAUCCUCUCCCGAUGUGCCUUUUGCUCUGACCUUUUCAUCUGCUAUGGAUCUCAAAAGCACCAGUAAAUCAAGUUAUGUCACUGCCAAUUUCAACUUCUAUCAACAUUCAACUUCUAUUACCAAAAUACUUAUCAACCCUUACAAUGGAGCAGUACCUUAUAAAUCAACAUUCAACUUCUAUUACCAAAAUACUUUUCAAUUUCAAUUUCUACUUCUAUAACUUAUCGCUUUCAAUUUCUAUUACUUAUCAAUUUCAAUUUCUUUUACUUAUCAAUUUCUAUUGCUUAAGUUGUUAUGUUGGGCUUAUCUCUUCGACUGCCUAAAACCUUAAUUAAGCAAAAGAUUUUCUUUGUCUGUGAAUCAAAUCGAACACAGAGGUAACUCCCUUCUUCCACCUUCAUCUUCUACUACUUGAUAAUCCAAUUUGUCUUUUUUUUUUUGUUCUCCCAAUGAAAUUUAUUUUGCUAAAGAGUUGGUACUUGGUACAGAGAUAUCAAAGAAGAGUGCGAAAAAAACAAAACAUUGAUGAAAAAGUUGUGAUUUUUUCACAUGAACCUGUUGUUCCUACUUCCUAAAGAAACAAGCAGUGGCUUUUUUCUUAAUCUUCCUCUCCUCGCAACAAGUAACUAAGUAAGCACUUUCUCUUUUUUGAAGGUUGUUUAUUUUCUUCAAUUUUUGUACUUUUUUUAUGUGUUUGCAUGUGGUUUGUAACUAGCAGUAUGCCAACCCCUCCAAUCAUUAAGAUUAUAAUCACUGAGUUAUCAACAAUAGGAGAAUUCAAUGGGGUAUAUAGAUUUAUGUUAGAGAAAUUUAAUAUCAUUCAAGAUGCCAAAUCAGUACCAAUAAUAGUAAUUAAUAAUAAACGGGAGAAAAUAUUUUGGCCCUUUCGGGAGAGAUCUUUUAGAGUAGGGGCAUCCCUUUGUGCUAAAAUUCACAGUUACUGAGCCAAAGCAUUGGCUCAGUAACGAAAUGAACCCUCAUAUCAGCUCCUGGUGACUGGCCGGUGAGACAAUGUUUAACUUAGGAUCGAAGACAUCAAUGCCAUGGAUAACUCAAAAGAGUCCAGAGAGUGCAAAGGUCAUAUGACUAAUGACUUUCAUACUGUCCAAGAAGGUCCUUGCUAUAUUGAGAGAAAAUUUACGAACGUCUUUUUAAUAUAGCUUUCUUCAUGCUUACAACUUAAAUCUAAUGCCUCAAGGUUUUGGGUAGUGAUAUGCCUUCCCCUGAUGCCUUAUAGCACUUAAGAUAUAUACUGGAUAUACGCCAGAUUAGGAUAAAUGAUAGGUCUCAUUGGUCCAAAAGGUUACUCUCAAGUCCAUCUUGCUUAUCCUUGAGCAACCAUAAAAAUUUAUCAUGACUUCAUGUGUCUUGAAAAUCUAUUGCAUGGAACAAAGUUCUUUCUACAACAGGACGGUUUUCUGUUACUUUAAGCAUGCAAAAGCUUAUAAUUGGUCUUGAUUUCUUGAUCAAAUAAAUGGGUUUAAUACUUGGACAAUAUGAAAUAUGCAAUUAAUUCGUGCUAACCAAUAUAUAGUUAGUUAUUGAACUGUCUAGAGUAGUCAUAUACAGGAGGUUUGAUAUGAAUAUUUUAUUAAUGCAUUGAGCCCAAGGCCGAGUUCCAGGCUACAACGUGGCUUAGUGAUCCCAUCACCCAUGAUCCUCACAAGUAUAUUAACUUAUAAGUUUAUUAGGUUUUUUUGACAAUCAUGGAACUCUUCUAAGUAGUGUGUUAAUACAUUUAUGUAUAAAAACUUCAGAGUUCAGAUGCAGUGAUCAUUGGUACCAUUACAACUUUGACAUCUACUCAAAUCCAAGGCAUUUAAAAAAUAAUUAUAGGGAAGUUCAUUUGACGAUCAAUGAACGUCAUGUCAUGUUGUUAUUUUAUAAUGGUCGUGGUAUAUAUUCAAUGCGUUGAAAAAGCUUUGAAUAUUAUGAAAAUUGAUAACCAGAGUUUCAAGAUUAUGAUCCAAUUGUCAGUAUCACAAUUCACCCAAUUAGGUAAAUUUAUCAGUUGGGAUAAAUAAGACGGUCAAAGGACUGCAUUUGAGAAUGGAGGUAUGCAGAGGUAUAAAAGACGCUAAAUGGGUUAUUAAAGGUCACACGAACAAAUCUGUUAGUGAUCUUCAGUUGCUGCUGAAAUUGGGAGUUGAAUGUAGGACUGCGACUUCUCGAAGUAUUAGAGAGGUUUGUGACCACCUAAUGUCACGAUUGUCAAAGCUAAUACUGAUGACGCCUUUAUACGUAACCCAGGACAAGGCGGCAUAGGAGUGAUCUAUAGAAAUCAUUCAGGAGAAUUUAUGGGGUGUUUGGUACAAGGACUUGGCAUCACAGAUAGCUUCACAGCUGGGUGUUGGGCAAUAACUAAAGCUAUUGAAGAAGCCAUUGAUCAAGGAUGGCUGAACUUAUGAGUGGAAACUGAGUGCAUACCAGCUGCUUAGGUGUGUAGUAACCGGAGUCCUCUAUAGCAGGUUCGAGCUCGAUUCAUGAGGGCAACUAAAAGAAUCCAAUCUUUGUGUAUAAUCCAUAUUUAUAGAGGGUAAUUUUUCUGCUGACAUGGCACCUAAAUCACCCCUGAACUUAGGUAUGAAAGAGUGGAGCUUAAUUAGACCCCACAUUCAUUACUUGCUUGGAGGAAACCUACAGAGCUUAUUAUAGAUUUAAGUGAUGAUUUGAUGUAAGCAUGAAGAGCUUGGAAUAUAUACUCAGUUCCUCAAAUUUCUUUUGUAUUUCCUUUUCUUUUUAUUAAUGAAGCUCACCUUAGCAAAAAAAAAAAAAUCCAACAAUUUUCUGGAAUGUAGACUGUUUAGAAAACCAAAUAUACAUACUGCCUAUAAAAUCGAUGGACAAGUUUAUUCCAGUAUUGAUCCAUUGAGUGUGGAGUUGUUUUUGAAGUUUAUUGCUUUGAUUUUGCGAUAGAUUGAAAUCUACCAAUGGUAAUAACUUUGUAACAAUUAUUCAGUCUCCCAUCUUCUUUUACUUGGUAUAUUUGUAGGAUGAGUAUCUGAAAGCUUAUUAUGAUCCAUAUGUCGCUUUGCUCUUGAAACAACAAGAACUAGAAGAUACAAGUAAUUUUUCAAACCAGUCUAAUCGUCAAGGUCAGGUACAAUGAUGAUGCCGAAUGAGAAGAUGCUCUAACUUCAGGUACACUUUUCUUGCAUUAUCAGCUAAACUAUGCUUAUCUCUUUGUGAAGUAAGAUAAAUUAUGUGCCUAAAAGUGUAGUUCCUAAUAUGUAUUUAGUUAUUAUUAUAUAUUUAAAAACCUCUCAUAUUCCCAAUGGAUUUUGAAGAUUAAGUUGUAAUUUUUGUGUGUGGUCGUUUAAUAAAUAUGUAUUAACUAGAAUAUGGGUAGGAAUAUUGAGGAAUUUGUUUUAAGUAGAUGUUCAUCAGAGCCAACCAUUGGAAGCCUUCAAAAAUAAAAAUGAAAGUUAAUAGUGCUCACUAUUGCUUGCCUACUGAUCAGGGGAUAACAAAAUGGAAAACAUUAUAUUAUAAACACUGAUAGAUAAUACAUAUGGGUGUGCCUUCGGCAGUUUGAACACAACCCAAACUGAUGCAAGAGCAGAAUAAAUUUGAUGUUGUCAUUAUUAUUUUAGGCUUGGAGAUGAGCUCCUAUUUAAGGUUUCCUGUUAUUUUGUUCCAUUAUUUUGAUUUUGAAUUUGGAUUCCUAAGAAGAUCAGGAUGAAUGUUUUACUUUAGUUGAUGCCUUUUACAUUGUGUUUCUAAUGAGAAUAUCAAAGUAUUAAUAAAGUUGGUAUCGUGAUUUUUUCAUUGUUGAUAGUGCAUUGGUAUGUAUGAGCUCCCUACAGUAUGUAUUUGCCUCCGUAUUUGUUUUAAGAUAUUAUGGACUAUUUUUGGCUUUAUGUCUUUAACAAUGAAAAGAAUUCAACCAAGUACAGUUAUAUUUAAGUUUGAUUGUGUUUCAACAACCCAGCUAAUUAUAUGAGGAAGUAAAUUACAUUAUAUUGGAGAGUUUCAUUUAUUUACUCUUAUUUUAUUGUGUUUGUAAAUAAGUAUACCUUAUAUUUGCAAUGUGGUAUUUUCUAAAAUAUAAUUGUUAAAAGUGGGUUUUUUUCUCCCUCUCUAUCUCUGUUAUUUUUUCCUUUUAUAGAAAGUACAAGUGAUUAAUAUACGACCAUAGAAACAAAUAGUAGACUAAUUUAUUAUCUGCCAGCUAGAAAAAUCCCUAUUUUAUCUUUCCAAAGAAGAUAUUAUUGUAUUAUACUAUUAUCUGAUAGUUGGAAGUUGACGGAAAUAAUGGUUCACUCUUUUUUUUUUUUUUUUUUCUGAGUAACUUUCUCCAACUUACUACAGGCAGCCCCAAGCAAAAUGUGUGAUUUAAAUGUUAAAGCUACAGCUUCUGGAGAUGACAAGGAAAACAAUCUAAGGAGUUCUUAUAUCAUUAUAUGGAGCACCUGCACUGCACGAUUUUAAGAAAUGAAGGUGAGAUGAGCAAAUUUGUCUGCAAUGCCUUCAUAAGAGAUGUAGCUUAUGUGGUCAAUCUCUUUGAAUUGAUAUGGUGUUAUGGAACACAAUUAUUUUCAGUUCUUGCAAAGAACAAAUUUUAUAACGAAGCUUCAAGAACAUUUUGUGAAUUGAGAAAAGUAGGGUAGCAAGUGACAUAAUUACAUGGACUUUGAUGGUUUCAGGUUAUGCACAUUAUGGGUUGGUGGAUGCGAGUCUAAAAUAUUAUGGAUUAACAAAAUAAUGAUGUUGUUUCCUGGAACAAAAUGAUUGAGGGAUUUGCAAUUUAUAUAUAGGAACACAAAGUUGCACUUGUUUUAAUGUUGUGUGCGGGAGAAAUCUCUGACAGUGUUACAUUCAUAAGGGUCCUCAACACAUGUAGUCAUGUUGGACUACAUGCGAGAUCCAAUACAAUAGUGCAAAUAUCAUAUCAAUUUUGUGUUUGGAUGCACUAUAUGCGAGAGAUGUAAGGAAAAUGUGAUCCAAUUUUUCUUUAGUUCUGCUAUGAGCAAAGUCGCUCCAAUAAAGGUGAGAAACAUAUCUAUAUGAUUAUAUUGAUGUUAAUGUUUUCUAACGUGUUUUAUAUUCUCAACAAGUUUGUAUUUUGUUAGGAGUUUGUUGCAUUUUUUUUUUUUUUUUUUUUUUGGUAAGGUGAUCAUACUCAAUUGUUUAAUUGUUACCAGUUGUAUCUCAAGUGGUAAGGGAUCCUACUCAAUUUUUAAUUCUCGAUUUAAACAUCGUACAACAUUGAUCAAAGCAAUGGUUGCAGACUUGCAGAGAUACAACGAUGGAUAUAACUACCCUAUCAGCCCAUUGAUGAACUGCAUGUUGAUCAGUUGUAAUUUUGUUGUGUGUAAUGGUGUUGUAACAGGAAGUGGGAAGACUGUGUUGUUGAGUGGUCUAUUGUAGGGUGUUUUUCAACUGAUUUUUGCAGGCUGCAGUUAGUUUGUAAAUUGCAUGACAGAGUGCAGCAUAGUUUCUUGACAACUAGAGUAUGAAUAAAGAUGUAGUUGAUCAUGUCUGGUUAGUUGUAGGCUUUGUCUAUGCUGGUAGAUAUGUUUUGUAUGUGUACUCUAUGUUGUUUUUGUUUUAUGGGUGGGUUAGGUAUAAUUCUGUACGAAGAGGAGCAUGUCCUCUGUGAGGUAUUUGAUGGUGCAUUUAAACUGUGUGUUCUCUUCAGACUUUAUAUAUGGUUUGGUUUUUUAGUGUUUAAUAAAAUACAAACUACUAUGUAGACCAUCAAAUGAUGCCUUAAAUCUUCAAUUUGUCCAUCUAUGUUAGAGACCAUUGCUACAGUUACAAAGAUAGAAAUAACCACCCUAUCAGUCUACUGAUGCUGAAAACUAACAAUCCACUUGCUUGGUAUCCUUCCACUGCCUUUACAGUCACACUUGAUGUCACAAUACCCCAUCUGAAAUUAUUAAAAGUGAUCAUAAUGAACAAGAAUAUAUUUUUGGUUCUAUAAAAUAUAUGAGUUGAUAGGAUGUGUUUGAUUCGCAGGCAUUUGGUUCCCGGGAAAAUAAUAGAAAUGGCUAAGUUUUAAAAGAUUUUGAGUAGGAGAUCGGAUAGCUAUUUUAUUUAAAUACGGUUUUUAUUUUCAAAAAAAAUAAAAAUAAAAUCAUUUUCUAUAAUUGAUUUUUAGAUUUAUUUAUCUUACUCCCAUAGUCCAAGUUCCUAAGAUUUAAGUUUAGUCUUGCUAUCUAUUAUUUACCACUUUCUGAGAAUCAAAAACUAUUUAUCUAGUCGAAACUAACGUGGCAUAGCCAUGGGUACAACUAGUAUAUAUAUAUUAUUAAGUUUGUUAUAAUGAAAUGUAUAUUUUCUUUCGAAGAUAAUUUCCAUCUGAAGAUAUGAAGAUAGGUUACCUUGCUUUGCUCAAUGCUAGCAAUCGAAUUGGUUAUGAAAUCUUAAAAGAACACGCUUGUGAUACUGUCCAGAAGAAGCAUUGCAGUGCAAAGAGAGUUUGCCUGCGGUAGUAUACUGUCCAGCCAUGAUGAGUCGACUUGCCAAUGAUUUGGGGAUUGAUACAGUAUUUAUCAUACCUCGAUGCAUUAUAACUUAUUAUUACGUUUUUCCUUGAUGGGAAAAGAAAGGCUAUAGAUGAAUGUAUUGUUGGUAUUUUUGCAUGCAGGAUGAGCAAAAGAAAGGCUCUAUACAAAUUUACAUGAAAGAACUUAGAAUUUCCGAAGAAGCUGCUCAUGAACACAUAAGAGAACUGUUUAAGGAGAUUUGGAAGAAGAUGAACAGAGCACGGGUAGCUCACCAUCCAUUCUCCGAGCCCUUCAUGACCUCAGCAAUAAAUCUUUGCCGACAAGCUCAAUGCAUUAUCAUGUUUGAAGAUGGAGAUUUAAACAUGUAUAAUCUCAUGUCUUUGGUGUUUGAACCCAUCCCUCUUGAGUAAGAACUACACAUGAACAAUGCAGUUUAUAUGAGAUUAUUAGACACAAUUUGGAUUUUCCUUGUUCCUAGCAGUACCAGCUCCAAUGGUUGGUUUCUUUGUUGCCAUUAUUUGAGUGCUAUAGGUCACUACGGAUAUUAGUCCAAAGUACAUUGACCCACUUAUUAACAGGUCGAGUUUGGGUUUAAUUAAAGUCGAGUGCACUAUAACCCGAUUAUUAGAAGAAUUCCAAUCCUGUUGGCUAUUGCCGCAUGGCCCCUUAAUGUAUCCUUACAAACAAGGGGAAGAUAAAUUAAACAAAAUGAUCGCAAAACAUCAAAAUUGAAUACAAUCACAAAUGCCCAUUAUCAUAAAAAUAUUGGUGACAAAUUAUAAGUAACCAACAAUGCCAUUGAACUCAACUUUAACAAGACAAGCUGGGAAUGUGUUCAUACCCUCAUUACAACACCAAUCGGGUAAAUCGAGCUAGAGGAUAUAUAGAAAUUAUUAGAAAGAUGAUGAACUACAUCACAUCUACUAGCUUUAUUCAAAGUUAUGCGGUGUUGCAACAAGAAUAAGAGGGUGUUUCUUGUAAGCUGUAGCACUGAAUUCUUCAGUGACAUCCAAUUCUUUGAUUGUUGUUCCAUUAGGCAAAGUCCAAUCAAAGUGAUACAAAAGAUUUGCUAGUGGAAGUUCCAUAUCAGGGAUUGCAAAAUUUAUUGCAGGGCAUGCUCUCCUUCCUGCACCAAAUGGAAUGAACUGAAAAUCCUGUCCUUUAUAAUCCACAGAAGAAUUAAGAAACCGUUUUGGUAUAAAUUUUUCAGGAUAUUCCCAAUACAAUGGGUCUCUUGCAAUUGCCCACGCAUUGACAAUGACAGUAGUAUUGGCAGGAAUGUCGUAGCCAUGUAUCUUAGCAUCUUGGAUUGAUUCACGGGGGACAAGAAAAGGUCCUGGAAUAUGUAAUCGUAGUGUUUCCUUAAUCACCAUUUUCAUGUAGUGCAUUUUUUCAAGGUCAUCUUCUGUGAUAAAUCCUUUUCCUUUUGCUACGUCUCUUAUCUCCAUUUGGACUUCUUUCAUUAUGUCUGCCUGUUGGAUUAGCUCUGUCAUUGCCCAAACUACGGUUGUUAACGAGGUUUCCGUCCCAGCGGCGAACAUAUCCUACAAGAAAAAAAAAAUGUAAGCAAGCAGCCGCGAUGGAAUGAACAUA
rnacentral:lncRNA from 1 species